rnacentral:rRNA from 1 species
CCAGACUCCUACGGGAGGCAGCAGUGAGGAAUAUUGGUCAAUGGCCGAGAGGCUGAACCAGCCAAGUCGCGUGAGGGAAGACGGCCCUACGGGUUGUAAACCUCUUUUGUCGGGGAACAAAGGCGUCCACGGGUGGGCGGAUGAGUGUACCCGAAGAAAAAGCAUCGGCUAACUCCGUGCCAGCAGCCGCGGUAAUACGGAGGAUGCGAGCGUUAUCCGGAUUUAUUGGGUUUAAAGGGUGCGUAGGCGGACAGUCAAGUCAGCGGUAAAAAUGCGGUGCUCAACGCCGUACAGCCGUUGAAACUGGCAGUCUUGAGUGGGCGAGAAGUAUGCGGAAUGCGUGGUGUAGCGGUGAAAUGCAUAGAUAUCACGCAGAACUCCGAUUGCGAAGGCAGCAUACCGGCGCCCUACUGACGCUGAGGCACGAAAGCGUGGGUAUCGAACAGGAUUAGAUACCCUUGUACAA